UAUACAGCUGGGAUGUUUGUGGUAGGAGGGGGCUGUAGUGUGGAAGGUGGUAGUUAAACUGUGGGUUAAAGAGGACACCUAGAGAGAGAAGCCAGAGCAGGAUCCUGGCCCUGGGGAUAGGGUUUACCCAGAAGCAUGGAGAAGAAAGCCUGUGGGAGGAGCAGCAAGGUGAAAGAUUGUGCAGACCUUAGUUUCAGAUUAUAGAGUCCCUGGAUUAGAACCCAGAGUAGCAGGUGGGCCUGGGUUCCCCUACCAGUUGCUGGGAAGCAGCACAGGACUGUGGGAGAUGCCACCUUGCCAGCUGGUCCAGAGGGACUCUGUUGCUGUCAAAGAGGAGGACUCUAGUGACCUGCCUGGAGGGCUGAGUCACAAAGUGGGAGUAACCUGAGUCCAGAGGCAGAGUCCAUGGGGUGAGCAGCCGAAGGAGGGGGGCAUCAGACUGAUUGAGAGCUAAUCCCCAGAGGAGACUCAAGGAGGCAUCCCUGUGAGCAGAGGCGAGUUUUGUUCUCCUUCUGGCACAAAAAUAGCUGGAUCCAAGAGGAAGAUGGAAGUGUUGUCAAACAUUGUUUCUAUAGCCUGAUUCUAGCCUUCGUGCUGGUAAACGAGCAAAAGGGAUGAAGUGAGACUGGAGGCACUGGAGAGAUGGCUGGGAAUAGGACCAUCCUGUGGCCCCCAAUGAAAUGCUGAACUACCCAGCAUGGCUAACCAAAGAUGACUCCUCUGCAUCCAGCAUCAAUUCAAUUUCUUCUGCUUCACUUUGUCAUCCUUCCAGUAUAGAUUUUCCACCUGCAGCAGCAGUUCAAGGAAAUAGUGUUGAAUACAGAGUGCACUGGCAGAGAAGGAUGGCAGUGUUUCUUUAAUUUACUGCUAACUCAAAUUUCAAGCUCCCAGGAAUUCUGAGUUAGCUCCCAUGUUCUUAAAUGUCCCAAUAUUCAGAUACAACCCCCCACCCCAACAAUUAUUUCAUUCAGCUCUACAAGAGAUAGAGGAACCACUAGGUUAAUGUGUAGUUUAUAAACUCUGUAUAUCUAACAUGUCCACCUUCCAUCCCCGGAAACUGUAACAUGAAACUAAGGAGGACAGACCCAGGUCUUCUGCAGGAGAUGAAGUAUAAAGCUGGAUAAAGAAACUAUUCCCCACUCCCAAUGCCUUAUGGCCCAGAACCACAGAAGAACAAAGCACAGGGAUGCUGAGCAUGGCCAUACUCAGGCUUUGUGGAUUCCAUCAAGUUAAGAUGCCCAAAAGCUGCGUUUGUGCCUACGUGCCCUGUUCUCCCCCUACCCCCUCUUCAUUGGAGAGCGGUGCCUGAGAAACGCAGCAUACUUUGCAGGCAGCUGCCUAAAUUAACCAGGAGGAGAUGCUGAUGAAGUGUAUCCUGAACUCUGCCCCUCUCAAGGAGUUAAGCAUCUAAGUCUGGCCUAGAGGGAGGCACCUAGUUUUGCUUGCAGAUCAUAGCCAUGAACCCUUCUCCUGGAGUCAGCCAGCUUAGACAUCUAAGGCAUUUGAGAUAGUGGUGGUCCCCAUGCUGCUUCCUUUAUAACUUUACCUGGCUAAAGCAUUCCCCUGCUUCUUCCACAGCCUGGGUGAGUGCUCAUCUUCACCUGGCUUGAGGAUCAUGCUGGAGCUACAGUGUGAGAUGGGUGUCCAGGUGACUUGAGGGAAGCAGUAGUUUGCAUGCCCAGAGGCAGAAAUUUAGGUGCCUAUAGGACUUGUACAGCAAAAAUGCAGGUGGAGAGUGUUUAGGUGCCAGAUGAGCCAGGGUUUUGUAGCACUGAAAAUCUGGGCUUCAAGCACUUAAGUCCCCAGCACCUAUGUCUACUUUCACAAAGGGAAAGCAUCUUGAAGAGUGAAGUCGUAGGCACAGCACAGGUACAGCAAGCAGCUGG